rnacentral:rRNA from 1 species
GCUUUUGACGGGUAACGGGGAAUUAGGGUUCGACUCCGGAGAGGGAGCCUGAGAAACGGCUACCACAUCCAAGGAAGGCAGCAGGCGCGCAAAUUACCCAAUCCCGAUACGGGGAGGUAGUGACAAGAAAUACCGAUUCAGGAUCUUAUUGGAUCUUGAGAUUGGAAUGAGUACAAUUCAAACCCAUUAACGAGGAACAACUAGAGGGCAAGUCUGGUGCCAGCAGCCGCGGUAAUUCCAGCUCUAGUAGCGUAUAUUAAAAUUGUUGCAGUUAAAACGCUCGUAGUUGAACUUUGGGCUUGGCUGGCUGGUCCGCCUCACCGCGUGCACUGGUCCGGCUGGGCCUUUCCUCUUGGGGAUCCACAUGCCCUUCACUUGGGUGUGUUGGGGAACCAGGACUUUUACUUUGAAAAAAUUAGGGUGUUCAAAGCAGGCAUUUGCUCGAAUACAUUAGCAUGGGAUAAUAGAAUAGGACGUGUGGUCUUAUUUUGUUGGUUUCUAGGACCGCCGUAAUGAUUGAUAGGGAUAGUUGGGGGCAUCGGUAUUCAAUUGUCAGA